rnacentral:lncRNA from 11 species
AAAUUUCUCUAACAUUGUACCUUAAUAUCUACAGAAACCUACAAUGAAUGCAAAUUGUGGAUAGGUUUCAACAGAAGAAGGUCAAGAAUAAUGCUUUUGCGGACGGAUAAGAGACCUCAAGGUUUUGAGUCCCUGGACGCCUCGCAGGGAUCGGCGGUAAUGAAGGUGACUUCUAUCAAGAGGGUGGGUAGUGCUCCGCAGAGCUUCCUAUAUGAAUCCGGUUUAAAAGAACAAAAACACAUUCAAUUCAACAUAAAAAGAGUACGGAACAAAAAAUUUAAGUGCGUCUGCACAAUUAUUGUUCAUGAUUAGCUUUCUAUUUUUAUUUUGUAAAUAGCUUUUAUUGUACUUUUUAAAAUUAACUUAUAUAAAACAUGGGGAUAGGGAAGGGGAAGGGGAAAGGUAGUGUGUGUGUUUGUGGGGGGGGUUUCUAGGGAGAGGGGAGGACGGGGGGCAGGGUUUGAAUUGAGUAGGGGAGUGUUUAGGUAAAAAAGGG